AACAAGCAUUGGCUAGCAAUUGUCAAGCUUUAGUCAAGAUGAUAAAGAAACACUUAAUCUACCCAUCCUAACCUCAGAUACAAGAGAUUAACAUAGAACAUGUCGGUGGGAUCUUAGUAUAUACACGAAAUUGUGCAUAUAAGAAGAUACCAUGGAUAAGUAAGCCCCAACCUGAUACAAAUUAAAUAGCAACAGAAAAUCUGCAUAUGGCUAGCCCAAAAUAGAACCAGCAGAAUAGCAGAGACAGCAUUAACGUGAAUUAAAUCUGAUGGGAAAUGCAUGCACUAGUGCUUAUGAGAAAGUGAAAUUUGGUUCAGAUGAUUUCAACCAUGACCAGGACUGAAAUAAUGUCUUGGAAAAACUUGUCUCUGUUGAAGAUGAUGUUGUUUCUCCAAUUCCAAACAACCCAUGUAAUGGCACACCACAAGACCCGCCAAAUUCGAUUUGUAAUCGGAGAGCACUUAUAUAAAACAGUAAUGCUCUUGGACAGUUGCAGGUAUUGAAGAGGAAAGAUUAAGCCACGAGUAGCAUUCUGACCAAACCAAGCUGACUGUGGGACAACUGAAAAGAGAAUGAGCCAAUGUUUUCAUCAAGAGAACCACAAAAGGGUCGACCAAGUCCGAAUAUGUCACAGGAAUAUUCCUCCUCCUAAUAUUAUCAGCUGUGGGCGGGCAUUCGUUACGAAUGCUACUCUACUGCUAUUCUACUGCUAAGAAACUAAGGAAAACUAAUUGAGAUAAUUAUUUUGAUAUAUCUCAUUAAUUCCACUUCUUUACAUAUUUAUAAUACUUUCCUUCCAACAGGAUAUAAUUUGUUAUAACAGAAUUUGUUAACAUCCUACUCAGCUACUUUGUGGAAUUGUUAUAACUGUCUAAGGUAGUGGUAUGAGGCUUUUUGUGUUGUUAUUUCCAUCAGUAUUGCUAUUAUUACCCUCUGCUGGAAAAGCCAACCUUGUCCUCAAGGUUGGACAAUCAAAACAAAACUGAAACAAGGAUGGAUUUAGAAAAAAAAAAUGUGAUAGAAGUUGCUUUGUUGGUGGGCUUGUUUGGGGUCUGACAAAGAUAACCCUAAGGGUUAUCACAUACGUGAAGGUGGAGAAGUAGGUGGAGGUUGAUGUCGACACGGUGGUGCUGCCACACUCUGACGGGGAAGUAGGUGGUGCUGGAAUCGAUUCCGAUAGCAGGACCAUCUCCUUUUCCAGCCAUGGGAAGCGGAGUCGAGAUGGGUGUGGGGCUUUGUUGCCUAGGUGCGGGACAUGGAAUCGCGAUCGGCAUAAGAAGGGGAGUCAACAUUAAGGCAUCUGUCAAUGGCCAGUUUGGGUUACCCCAUUCUUGAGGAUAAGGCUGAAGAGGAACGUGGUAGUAUGGUGUGAACUAAGGAGGAGGCACGUGAGAGCGAGGCGGAGGAGGGUACUGGCUGGGGUGGUAAUAAUAAACGUUCGGCAGAGGAGCUGGCGGCGACGAUGACUGCACCGAAGAAGGAAACGGGGAGCAUUGGCGAGAUAUCAUGGUAUCCAGUUUCAGGAUAAUGAGAUCAAGUUUGAAGAUCAUGGAGGCUUGGGUCACUGCGAAACAAAGUUGAGAUGCAUAGAGAUUGGAAUCCAUGAAAGCUUGGGCUGCGGCGAGUUUGGCCAUGGCGGCCUCGAGGCGGUCCAAGCUGGUGGUAGAAGGUUCAGCAUCGGCAUUCGCCAUUGAAGAGCGGCAAAGAAGGGGCAGGCCAGACCAAAUUGUUACGUAUGCUACUCUACUACUAAGAAACUAAGGAAAACUAAUUGAGAUAAUUAUUUUGAUAUAUCCCAUUAAUUCCACUUCUUUACAUAUUUAUAAUACUUUCCUUCUAACAAAAUAUAAUUUGUUAUAACAAAAUUUGUUAACAUCCUACUAAGCUAAUUUGUGGAAUUGUUAUAACUGUCUAAGGUAGUGGUAUGAUGCCUGUUGUGCUGUUAUUUCUAUCAGUAUUGCUAUCAGCAUUCCACAAAGCUCUCCAAACAAAAGUAAUGAUCUUAAGAGGAAUUUUUAGGUUCCAUAGAGACUCAAAGGUUUGAGAUUGAUGGGAACCAACAGCCACGGCAAGUAAGUAACCAUAUGUUGAUUUCAUUGUCAAGUUUCCAAAACCGUGCUCCUUCCAAAUCCAAAAAAAAUAGCUUCCCCCAUUCCCAAGCUUACAAAUAGCAAUAAGCUGAAAAAAAUUAUGCACCAUGGGUAAUUCCCACUCAAACCAAGACCGUCUCCAGUUAAAGUUCCAUCGUACAAACUCAUCCUACUAAUAGGCUCCUUGAUAAGUGCUAAAUAAUUAUACUUUGAUAAUAGAAAACUAAGUAAAAUUUCCUUUAAAAAAUAUUUAUUUAGCAAUUAUUUGUGUUAAUAUGUUAAGAAUUGAUGUUUUGUUAAAUCCUGACUGCAGAUAUAAAAACUGGAGUGACAACAAGAAAAAAGGUGGGAAAAUAACAAAGAAAAGAAGGAAUUAGAAAGGCCCAGCCCAAUGUUGCACUUAGCGUGUAGCACACACUAAGCGCGCAACACUAGAACAAUACGCGCUAAGCGAGAGGAGCUCGCUAAGUGAGCAUACGAAGGCCCAAGUCCACUUCAGCAGUUAUAAAUAGAGAGUCAGACCAGGGGAAAAGGGACCACUACAGAAUCCCCCCUAGGGGAAAUCAUUUACUCCUUUUCUUUCUUUCACCCCUCUCAUUGUAAAACCCUCAUGGCCAUGAGUAGUUAAACCCCUAGUUAGGGCCUGACAGACUUAAAAGUCAAAGCGAUGUAUGAUGUACUCUUCAUUAUUUAUCAAUGCAAUACUAGGUGUUUUCUAUUCUAUUAUCUUUUCUGCUUUUAUCUUGCAUUAUUUAUCUUUAUAUUCUUUUAGGGGUUAGGUGCUCGAGAGAGUGUAAUCUUUAAUUAAGAUUUAAGGAAAUUAUACAUGUAUCAGUUUUAGGGGUUAGAUACUCGAGAGAGGGUAACCUUCAAUAGAACAAGGAGAAAGAAUAUCUUAAUAAAAUCAUUGUUAGAUAUAGAAUGAUUACAUUAUGUCCAUGUGUCAAAGCAAACAUCUAGAAUUAAAUCUUCAUGCAUUUUAUUUAUUAAAUCUUUUUAAAGACAUUUGGGAGAUAUGUAAGUAAAAUUGGCUUGUCAUCGUGAGGAAUCAGGGGCAAAUGAAUAAAUUGAUAAAGAAAAAUCAUAAACUCAUACAUCCUAGACAAAUAAGGCAUGCUAGGUCCCAACAUUAUCACGCUUUGAUUUUCUUUUAUUUUUUAUCUUCUAUUUUUAUCUUUUAUUUUUCUUAUCUUAUCUUAUUUUUUUAUCUUUAUUUUAGUCUUUUAUUUUUCUUAUCUUUUACUUUUAUUUUCUUAUUUUCUUUAUCUUCUAUUUUGAUUUUUAAAUCUUUAUCUUAUCUAUUUUUUUAUCUGUAUUUUAAAUUUUUUAUCUAUUGCUUUUAAAUUGGGUUUAUAUUAAUCUAAGUACAAACAAAGUUCAUGUGGAUUCGACACUCGGACUUUUGAGUACUUUACUACUUGUGACAGAUUUGGUACACUUGCCAACGAGUUAACACUUUUCAUUUUGGUUAGAAUUUAAGAAAAUUCUAGGAUAGACAUGAGCUAGUGGUUCAUGGCCAAUCCAACAAUCAUGCCAAAAUUCUACCCUAUUUCCCUCCUCACCCUCCACUCCACACACUCAUCAUCAAACCACUUGGACUCAUUAUGACCACCACACACCUUGCACAAAUCCCUCCACCAAAUAGAAGAGUUAAAAAAAUGGAUCAAUUUAAUCAUUUAAAGUGUGUCUGAUUAACAAGAAUCAACCAAUUUAAGAUAAUUUUUUUUCCUGAUAUUUUAAAACCUGACUAUUUAUUGAACUGAUAAAAAAAAUCGAUUGAGUUCCCUCUAAACCCACUCUAAUAGCGAAAUUUUACUGUAAACAGACGAUUUAUAGUGGGCUAUGAGUUUGUUUGUAAAACCUUUAUCAGUAAAUUUCAUCGAUGGCCACAAAGAAGUCGUUUGUAAUACGACGGGCUUAGUCCAUUGUAAGUAGAAGGUAAUAUAGUGGAUUUAGUCAUCAGUAAAUUGAUUAUCGAUGAUACAAAGGACUUACCCGUCAAUAAGUGAUGAGUAACAAUGGACCUGGGCUAACAUGUAUAACAAAUUAUAGUGAAUUUAGCUCAUUGUAUUAAUGUGAAUUUUUUACCAUUGUGAUAUAAACGACUUAAACUAUAUGUAAUAUAGUGUAUUUUUUGCACAAUAAGAACCCACUAUAAUAAAGUGGGAAACCUUAGGUAAUUAUAUUUUUUAAUUAAAUUUAUUUUUUAGGAAAUUAUCAAAACCUGUAAAAACAAUACUUAUUUGAAAAUAAUAUAAAAAUAGUACCUAGUUAAACAUAAAAUUAAUGCAUGACAAUAUUUCAUUUCCAUAUAUAUAUAUAUAACCAUCAAAAUUCACAAUAGAACUAUAGUAGUUGUGAUAAUACAAAUCCAUGAGUACUUGCUACUAAGUCAUAUCAAAAAACCAUUGAAGUGCUUCUAUGAAGUAUAAAGUAUAAAAAAAAUCACAGAAGUAUGGUACUAAGUCAUGAUACAAAAAUGUGUGUGUACGACGAUGAGAUUGAAGACGCUGGCUGAGAUUUGAUCAGCCACCCACUCUGGAGCAAUGGUUUGAGAAGAUCUACAAGAUUCUCUUGCUUCACUUGUGUUAGUUGAGCACCCAACAUUUCAUAAUCAAAAUGCACAUGUGUGUGUUAGUUAAGCUCCCUCUGGCCCAGCUUUGUCAUUCACAAAAUAAUGAAACAACCAAUCAAAUAAACAGACACAAAGUGAAAUUAAAAACUAAUUUGCAAACCUGCAAUGUGGAUGUCAAAAUUGGAAGGACAUAUCUCUAAGGUGUGCGGCGACUCUGACGAGGAGAGAAGAAAAAUCUGAAAUUAGAAAUAAAAUACAAAACAAAGAACAGAGAAAAAAAAUUCACGGUGUUGGGAAUCGCCACCAUGGACACAUACCAAAGGGUGUGCAACGAUUUUCUUUCGGUUCAUGAUCUUGACCACCGAUGGCAACGAGGGUGUGCAACGGUGGUGGCUGAGUGAGAGAAUGGUGUGUUUAGGUUUAAGGUUGAGGUAAGAACUUUUAAUAAAUUAAAAAUUAAAUUACAGUGGAUUUAAUCUACUGUAACCCUUAUUUUUAUUAAUUGAAAAUAAAAAAAAAUAUCAGAUUCAUCUUUUUGCAUUUUAUUUUAAGGUUAAAUUAUUCAUUUCGUCUCUAUAAUUUUAUGAUUCUUACUUUUUUAGUCUCUAUAAUUUGAAAGUAAUCAUUUUAGUCCCUAUAAUUUACAUUUUAAUCCUCUUUUAGUAUUUGUAGUUUUGAAAAUGAUCUUUUUAAUCGUUUCAUGAUUUUUAUUUUUUUUUUAUUCUCUAUAAUUUUCAAAUUAUAGGAACUAAAAAAAAUUAAAAUAUAAAUUAUGAGGACUAAAAUUAAUACUUUUAACUUCAAGAAUUAAAAGAGAAUUAAAAUGUAAAUCAUAAAGAAUUAAAAGGACUACUUUCAAACUAUUAGAACUAAAAAUAGAAGAAUCAUAAAACUAUAAGGAUCAAAUGAGUAAUUUAAUCUUAUUUUAAUUAAAAACUUUCAUCUUAAUUUAUUUUCUACUGAAAGGACACUCACCUGCAGUUUACCUCAUGCAUGGACCAAGUUCCCUGCCGUUUCAACUUGUACGUAUAUAUGGCACACCUGCUAGGAUGUAACAGUGUACAAUCGAUGUCUGUUUUCAAUUAAUUAUCUUCACUCCUUUCAAGCCUUGAAAGAGGAAUCGGGCGUAGGGACACCAUAAUCCAUCCAUUGCAGAGUGUAGUUAUAGCUCAAACAAGACAACUCUUACACUGAUACAGCCUUGAUUUCUGAGAGCAAUAAUUACAUGUGCGCAAUGCAUCACAUGCACGUCUGCUUUAGAGUAUUGAUAUUUCUCCACUUCAUCUCAAAUUGAGAUGAAAUGGAGUUAAAAAAUACAAGGAAGAUAAAAACUUAAUAUAUAGACAAAAUAUGUGAUAUAUAUUGUAAUAGAAAAAAAGUAAAAGUAAAAAUAAAAUGAAGGUGGAACAGAAUGGGAUGGGUUUGAAUCUCUCGGAUGUCAUUUUUCUUGCUCUUAGAGAAAUCCUCAAGUGCCUAUGAAUUAAUUGAAUAGUUAUAAUUAGGUGAAACUUGUUACAAUUUGUGCCUGUACAGAGUAAAGAACAUGAAAACAGGGUUAAGAAGCAUAAGACAGAAAAACAGAUGCAUCACUCAGAUUCCCCCACUAACUACAAAAUAAAGCUAGGCAGUACUGCUUUUCACCCCCUGUUUUUAUGUUUUUUUCUUUGUAUGAUUAGCUUUUGAUCCUUUCUGCCAUUGUCUUGGUAGAGGAUGUGUAUUCCAUAGGCAUUUCCUUUAUAUAUAUAUAUAUAUAUAUAUAUAUAUAUAUAUAUAUAUAUAUAUAUAUAUAUAUUAUUUUUGCCAAGUAAAAAAAAAAUAGUAAUUCUUUAGGUGGGCAUAUGUUGAUAUUGGGGGUGCCUAAUCCCCGGUAUACCUUUUUUUGUAAAAAAAGAAACUAAAUAUAUGUUAAGUAUUUUCCUUUAUUAUAAUUUUAGGAAUGUACAACAUAAAAAAUAUUAGAUAGGUAAAGUUGGCUAUGUGGGUCAAUCUUUCCCUUUAGGUCCUCUCAAUAGCAUGCAACUUAAAUUAGUUGAACUUAGGGGUGUUUAUAAGUAAAGCUAUGAAAAUUUUCAUAAACUUAAAUUAAUCUAUUUCAACUGAAGUACUUUGAAUUAAAAUUUUUAAUUAUUCGGAUAAGAUCCAAUGCAACUUAAUCAAAAUCAUUAUUCUUUAGAUUGAGUAUUAGGUUUUGGUAUUAAAUGCACAAAUCUAACUCAAUUUAUUGAUGUGAUUUAUUUUUAUUUUUAAUUUAUUAUUUAUAUAUUUUACUAAAAAUAAAAAUGAGAAAACACACAAUGAUAUGACUAGUCUACUACACGUGCCUUAGUCUCAUAUUUAUCUUUUCCUAUUUAGGUUUUUUAUACUAUUAUAUUUAUAUUCAAUAAAAUUUUAUAACAUAAUUAAAAUGUUAUAUAUAUAUAUAUAUAUAUAUAUAUAUAUAUAUAUAUAUAUUAUAUUUUGUUUUUGAUUUAUUAAUUAGUGAUCCUAAAACACAGUUAAAUAUUGUGGAGAAAAUGGAUGGUAGCAUAUACAAUAAUAUGUGUCAAAUGCAUACAAUUAUUCAAAAAUUAUAUCAAAAUUUCAUUUGAAAAUGGUGGAAUAUUGAGUUAGGUUGAAUUGGAUUUAGAUAAUUUUUUUUAUAUCAAAUUUGAACCAAAUAAAUCUAUAUAAUAAUGGGUUGAGUUAGAUUGAAUUUAUGGAUAUAAUGAAUUAAAAUUAAUUUAUUAUAUUCAUAAAUCCAAUCUAACUCAACUCAUUAUUGAUAUAUGUUUAUUUUGAUUCAAAUUUGAUAUAAAAAAAGUUAUAUAAAUCUAAUUUAACCUAAUCUAAUUUAUUUUUUAUCCGGUCGGUAAUAGAUUAAACGAAAUUCAACCUAAACUUAACUAUAUAUACUCCUAGUUGAUCUAACUCAAAUAAUGAAAUAAGUAGUACAUAGUUCAUAUAUAUAUAUAUAAUAUAGGCUAAUAAUGAGUCAGCUUGUGGUCUCUGAAUAAAAAAGAAAAGGAAACAUAAAAAUGAAUAAAAAUAUGAAAAACAAAUAUAUCUAAAAAUAUGAUCAAAAUCAAACACUAUCAUCGAUCAUUAUAAACUACUUAAACUCUCAACCAAAACAAGCAUUCUUAAUAUUAUGCAUGUUUGAGCUGAGUUACAGUUGGUCUUUCAUUCUUCUUCAUUCUAAUUUUUAUCCCACCUGACUUCUCUCGCAGAGCUUAUUUCUCUUUCCCACAUUCCACCUUUUUCAUCCUUCUUGCAAUCUCUUGUUUUUUUAUUGAACCAAUGGAACAUGCAUAAUUUGGCCUAUUGAUGGCUCGUUAUUGCGCCUACAACACAAUCAUAUUUCGAAUCAAGUAUGGGAAGACCAAGAAAGAAUGAUUUGUCCUAGGUGUAAUUCUGUCUGAUCUUUUACGCAUUUGGAUCGUGUAGAUAAUCGUGUGAAAAAUUUAAUAAAUGAAACUAGUUUUGGUCGUGUUAUAACUAUCGGCCAAAUUGAUAUUAAUUAGCAUUUGGUCACUACGUUGAUUGAACGUUAGAGAUCCAAAACUCACAUUUCAUUUUUCAAUUGGGCCUCAAGAUUGAUGAACUGUCGGUUACUUAUGUCAUUAUUGGUGAUGUACAUGUUACUUAUCAUGCCUUACUUGGAGACAUUCCACUCCAUAAGUAUAUCAAGAAAAAAAUGAUUUAUCUAAAUUGACUGUCGCAAAAUUUUCAACAACUUAUUGAUGGUGAUAAUGUGAUUGCACAUGUUAAAGCUCAUAUCAUGAUGCUCAAAGACAAAUAUUUGAUGCAAGAUACAUUUGGAGCAAAGAUUCAUUUUAUGUAUCUUUAUUUUAUCAAAUUUAACAGAUUUACCAUUAAUGUCAUCACCGACAAAAUGAAAAGAAAAAAAAAGAUCGAAAAAGAAGUAUAUGGUAAGAUAUGACAUUGGUAGACCACAUAUCUACAAAUCCCUGCGACGCCAUUAGCAUAUUUAUUUAUAACAAUGACAGAACAGAAUUUAUGACACCAACAAUAAUGCAUUAAUUCUACUAUCCAACAAAGUUAGAGAAGCAAAAAUGUAACGUUGGUAGAAGGCCACGUAUAGCUUUACAUGAACACAAGCAUCUUGCACCAGCAGUGUCUAAGCUGAGAACCAUAUAUUGAUAAAUUAAUAACAAAGAUAAUGCGUCAUGAUGCUAGUUGAAAGAAAACACCCAUAAGAUGAUUCAAAUGUAGUAAUUUGUAUUGUUAAACACGAUCUGCAUUUUUUUUUACUUUUAUUUAAAUCACGGAAAAUCAUUAUUUCCAUUCACAUUCACACACGAAUAUAUAUAUAUAUAUAUAUUGCCAUAAAUACAUAUUAACCGCCAUAAAGUUUUAAAUAUAUAUAUAUAUAUAUUGCCAUAAAUACAUAUUAACCGCCAUAAAGUUUUAAAAAACAAAAACCGAAGAAGAAAUUGUCUUUGGAAGUACAAUUUCUUCGUAUUAAAAUCAUCUUUUGAAACACAAUUCACUUAUUUUUGUAAUUUUUUAAAAAAAUCUAUCUAUUUUGAUAAUUUAUGGGGAAAAAAUUGCAUCAUUACAGUAUAAAAGUCAACAAUCAUUUUGAAAACACUGAAUGCCCAUUUUUUUUAUCUUAUAUAUUUUGCACCCCAGAUAAAAAAAAUCCGUUCCAUAAGUCAUAAGAUAAUGUUUUUUACUAUAUCGUUAUAGAAGUUAUUCCAUUAAACAUCAAAGAAGUUAAAAACGAAGGUAAAGCGGCACAUAUAAAAAAACCACCCAGUCCAAAUUAAUCACGUACAGAAAAUCAAUUAUAAAAGCUAAACUUUAUUAAUUGGAUGGUAAUUCAUCAAUACAAUCACCGAAAUCACGUGAUUUAUUAUUCAUACUAUAUAACCUAUGAGUGGGUAAUAGUAUUUGUGUAUUCACUUAUUUUAAACGGAGGGAUAUAUAACCAAUUAAGUCGAUCUCUCCACUGGUGAGCACUUCAAGGGCAGAAUGUGAUGGCAUAAUCAGGCCUGUUGGAGCAAGUGAAAGUGCUGCUCUUAUCAUCGUAAGCGUAGGAAUAAGCAUCGGGACACUGCUCCUCGAAAAUCUGAGAGUAGUUCGUAGGUGGACAUGUUUCUGCGGUGUUGUUAGGUCCAGUGCAGCAAUAUCUAUCUUCCUUAAAAGCCUCGCAAGCACUCUUGCAAGCGAUGACGUUGCCAUCGGACCCUUUGACUUGAAGCUCCGCAGGGCAC
rnacentral:lncRNA from 1 species